rnacentral:rRNA from 1 species
GGGGGAUAACAGUUGGAAACGUCUGCUAAUGCCGCAUAACGUUGUAAAAGGGCAUCCAUUUGCAAGCAAAAGUGAAAUGUUAUGAGAGAUGGGCUCGUGGCCGAUUAGAUAGUAGGCGGGGUAGCGGCCCACAUAGUCAGAUAUGUGUAGCCGGUGUGAGAGGUUGAGCGCCCACAUUGGGUGUGAGACGCGGCCCAGUCUCCUGCGGGAGGCCGCAGUGGGGUAUAUUGCACAAUGGGAGAAAGCGUGAUGCAGAGACGGCGUGUGAGGGAAGAUGGUUUUGUGAUUGUAAACCUCUGUGUUUGGGGAAGGAUAGCGGUGGUACCCAAAGAGGAAGCUCCGGCUUACUUCGUGCCAGCAGCGGUGGUAAUUAGUAGGGAGCGAUUGUUGUCCUGAAUUGGUGGGUGUAAAGGGAGAGUAGGCGGGGUUGUCAGUUGAAUGUAUAAUCCGCCGGCUCACCCGGUGUUGGUUUUCAAAAUUUCAGGUCUGGAGUCAAGUGGAGCCAGGGGGAUUUCUUAGUGUAGCGGUGAAAUGUCUGGAUGUUACGCGGGACACCAGUGGGGCAGGCGGCCUGUAGGGCUUUAUGUGACUCUGAGGCUUGAAAGAGUGGCGAGCAUACAUGAUUAGAUACUCCGGUAGUGCACGCGGUAAAUCGAUGAUUUCUGAGGUGUGGGGAGAUCUAAACUUUCCGUGCCGGAGUAAUCACAAUUAGUAAUCCAGCCUGGGGAGUGCGGCCGCAAGGUGAAACUCAUAGGAAUUACGGGGGCCCGCACAAACCGUGGAGUAUGUGGUUUAAUUAGAAGCAACGCGUAGACCCUUCUCAGGUUUCGCCAUCUCGUGAAUAGCCUUGAGAUAGGUGUAGCCCCUGGGGGCACGAAGGCAGCUGGUGCAUGGUCGUCGUCAGUUGGUGUAGUGAGAGGUUAGUUUAAGUCCGGCAGCGAGCGCAGUCCUUAUUAUUAGUUGCUACGCAAGAGCCCUUUAAUGAGACUGCCGGGGGCUAACCGGAGGAAGGGGGGGAAGACGUCAAAUUAUCCUGCCCCUUAUGGCUUGGGGUACCCCCGUAGUUCAAUGGCAGUAAACCAGAGGGAAGGGACCCCGGGAGGGGAAGCAAUUCCCGAAAAAGUGUCUCAGUUCGGAUCGCAGUCUGCAACCCGCCUGCGUGAAGUCGGAAUUGCUAGUAAUCGCAGAUCAGCAUGUUGCGGUGAAGACGUUCCCGGGCCUUGCACUCACCGCCCGUCAA